CCUACGGGUGGCAGCAGUAGGGAAUAUUGCACAAUGGGGGAAACCCUGAUGCAGCGACGCCGCGUGAGUGAAGAAGUAUUUCGGUAUGUAAAGCUCUAUCAGCAGGGAAGAAACUGACGGUUACUGAUUAAGAAGCCACGGCUAACUACGUGGCAGCAGCCGCGGUAAUACGUAGGGGGCAAGCGUUGUCCGGAUUUACUGGGGGUAAAGGGAGCGGAGACGGCAGCACAAGUCUGGAGUGAAAUGCUGGGGCUUAACCGCGGAACUGCAUUGGAUACUGUGCAGCUAGAGUGCAGGAGAGGUAAGUGGAACUCCUAGUGUAGCGGUGAAAUGCGUAGAUAUUAGGAGGAACACCAGUGGCGAAGGCGGCUUACUGGACUGUAACUGACGUUGAGGCUCGAAAGCGGGGGGAGCAAACAGGAUUAGAUACCCCGGUAGUC
rnacentral:rRNA from 1 species